rnacentral:rRNA from 1 species
UACGUAGGGGGCGAGCGUUGUCCGGAGUUACUGGGCGUAAAGCGCUUGUAGGCGGUCCACCAAGUUUGGGGUGACAGUUGCCGACUUAAUCGGCAAAGUGCCUCAAAGACUGGCGGACUUGAGGGCCACCGAGGGACAUGGAACUCCAGGUGUAGUGGUGAAAUGCGCAGAUAUCGGGAAGAACACCGGUGGCGAAGGCGGUUCUCUGGGCCUGUACUGACGCUGAGGAGCGAAAGCGUGGGGAGCGAACAGG